GAGCAGGGCGCGGAGGUGGAAGACGCGCGGAAAGAGGCAGUGGAAGUGGAGGGGGCCGCGGCGCGCGAGGUUCGGCAAUGCGUCGACCAGCGGUGACGCUGCUACAAGCGUGAGGUGCGUCGCUGCAAGGCGCUCAAACCGGUAGCCAACCGUUGCCGUCGGCGACGAGGGCGGUGGGCAGCUGCACAUCGCCUGCACGGGCGAGGGCAUGGUGUUCGUCACCACAUUGGCUGGCUUCCUGGUGGACGUCGAGCUCCUUGACCUGCCCUCCGGCGCGCCGCUGCUGGACGAGCUCGCCGCUGGCCCCGCCCUCCGGGGCGCAGCUGCUAGGCGAGCUCUCCGUUAGCCUCGGCGCCGACGGGUUCCGCCCCUCGGACCCGCUGCUGCUCGUGCAGGUCACGGAUUUCGCCUGCAGUGGGUUCAUCGCCGGCAAGUUGCUCUUCAGGUGUGCCCGGCUCUUGCUUUCCUUUCUUGUCUUCAGUUGUUUGCCAGAUCUUGUAUAAAAAAAAUGUUACUCUUUGUUGUUAAUCGUGUCUUGUCAUUUGCUCAUUAAAAUUACUACUACCUGAUGAUGGAUGGAUCAUGGAGAGAUAAAUCGAUUUAUCUUCUAUAAUCUUUCGCCUGCUAUUAUAUUGCCGUGGUAUAAUCUGCUACUCUGCCAUGUUCUGAAUGUUCCUAGCUUUUCAGCCUUCCAUGCUCCAAGUUUGCGCCUUCAAAUUCAGGCUCUUGGGAGCCAGAUAGUAGGAAAGUAUUAGCAUUUCUUAUUUCUUAUUAGCUGCUAAUUUUUUGCUUGAAUAGUGAUAAUUUGCUAGGAUUUUGCAGUCACAGAUUAUUGUGAAACCCGAAGAAGCUUUACAAUAAUCCUGAAAUGCAAUAGAAAGAAACCCAUUCAUAUAUCUAUAGCUAUCACCUUUCACGCUUCUCCACUGUUAUUUGUUUACCUCUAAUUUUCCUUUCCUUAUUUUAGUCUCAUGUUAAAAAUAUCCCAAUUUAUUUUUUAAUGCUCUAUACUAUUCAGUCUGAUGCUGGACAAAAUAUCAUUAAGGAAUCUCAACUUAUAGCUCCCCAAAAUGAAAGAAGUGAUCAAGGUGAUUAGCAUGAAUGUCUUGGAUGUUUUAAAGACAGAUCAAAUCUUGAUCAUUCUGAUUUUUUUCACUGUUAACUCCAUGAAUGCAAUUCGUUCAAAGAAAUGAUAACGGCGUCAAAGGAGGAGUACGAGCAACUUCCUCCCUACAUGAAGAGUCUAGCAUCCUGGGAGGUCUGAAUUUCUUACCCACUUGGACGCCUAUAGAACUGUAUGCAUGCUGGAUAUGCAUAGUCACAAAAUUACAAUAUGUGUUUCUUGAAAUUAGUAACUUUACUCUCUAAGUAAUAAGUAAAUCAGUUGAAGACAAAUAUUCUGCAGCAUCUUCACUUGCUAUUUCCUCAAAUUAUUGCUUUUUUUCCUUUGUCUUCCUGAUACAAAAUGGACUCGUGGUGUCGUGAUUCAUGAGCCGGGGCAAUAGCUAUGUUAUCAGUGUGGUCUGCCUCAGAGUUGUUUUGUUCCAUUAGGAAUUGCAGGAUGGAAUAUGCGAAUUAAAUUCAUACUUUGGCAGUAACAAUGCAUUGAAUCAAAAUGAUACUAGAGCAAUAGGACUUGGUAUGUGCAGUUACUUCUCUUCGCUUGUAAAUUUGGAAAUUUCACAUGUUAUAGCACUCUGGACAAAAAACUUUUUGUUAGGUUGUUUCAUUGCCACAUGCUCUUGAGGAAUUUCUGGUUGUGUUAUGGUAGUUAGCCAUGGUUCUUACAUGUGGCAAAAUUACACUCUUUGAGAAUAGCAAUCGUGGUUUUCAAAUAUUAAUUUUUGGAAGUAUUGUGACAUAAGGCUUGAGAAUUUAUUCUUAAAUGUGUGAAUUUCAUCCUAAAUUUCUUUAAAAGAAAUUCACUAAUGCAUUUGUGAUGAUGCCUUCAUGCAACAGCAAAGAAAAUUGAAAAGGAAAUGAAAGGUGUUGAUCUAAAUGUUCAUGCACUUGUCAUCCUUAUGUUAGAAAAAGUCAUUCAUUAUUUUCACAUCCCAGGAACAAUAGGAAUUUGAGUACAUAUGCACAAUUUAGACUGCCACUAUGCUGUAUAGAGUACACGAGUACCAUAAUGCACACCCUGCACCUGUAUUUCCUUAUACUCAUUUGUGGUCUUUGUGAUAGGUUUUGACUUUGGAGUAUAAUGCCUGUAUCAUGUCCUCAUUGUGCAACAGAAGGCCCCUGGUUUUGUUAUUCUUCCUGCUCUCCUAUGUUUAUUUCUAAUUUUCUUGUGUGGCUUCUUAACAGGUUGGAAAAUUGCCAAUAGAAGUUGUUGCAUCCAGAGGAUAGGCGAUGCACUGGUACAACUGUCGGAGUUUGUGACUAUGAACCAAUGUGAUGGGCGAACUCAAAAUGGCGCAACUUGCAGGUAGAAUGGGAUGAACAUGAGUAUGGAGAAGGACCUGAAAGAGUUAGCCUAUGGGAUAUUAAAACCCCAGAAAACUCUCUGGUUUUCUCUUCUCCAUUGAAUUUGAAGCAGCUAAGUGGCUACCCAGUUAUGGAGUUCAUGGGCUGCAAAUUGAAUCCGUAAAUAUGUCAUCAAUUCCAAGGGCACAAGCAAAUCCUUUUGGUGACUUGAAACACAUGGAAAGGAUCAGCUCAGAGUUGACUUUGAUGCUUCUCAAUCAAACUGGCUAGACGAUGUUAACAUGUUGAUGUUGUAUUUA